AUGUAACUUAUGAGAAUGCUUACCUCGGAUGGGGAAAGGAAUGACUAAAUCCGUUUUCUCGGAAUCUUUCUCAAUUUUCCGGCCAAAUAAGACGAGCCCUUUGUGAUUUUUCAUGACAGAUGAUUUCAGAGAGUUAAAAAAUAUCCAAACGCGAUGCUUUGUCAAAUGUUUUGCUAUGCGACAAGGUUUCUGUGGUAGAAUAAAAAAUAUAACACAAAGCGUAGAUUAUCGAUCGCUCUACAGCCUCACAAUUAGCUAUUGACGACCUAAUACGACAAACAGGCAGUAACCAUAAAGUGGUUUCAUAUUCAUUACUAUUACAAAGAAUCAACAAAAUACUUCCAGAUUCGUCGCCUACUGUCUAAUUUACCAGAAAACAAUGAAGCGAGAUUUUGAGGGAAAAUUCUCGAGAAUGGCAUAAUUCCCGCCAUUUUUGGACGCAAGGUAUGAUAGCAGAACAAAUCGAAUUUCCGUCAACAUGUCGUUGGCGUUUAAUUCCAAAUAUCUAAGGGAAGCAGGGAACUAAAGACAAAAUCUUCAUCCCUCUGAAGCCAGAAAAACAGGAAAUUGAACUUCACGCCCCAUACGACUUUGUCAAUAAAGUUAUGAUUUUGUGAGAAUACGGCUCCUGAAAAGAUAAACCAUUCAAUUCAGGAUGCUUUUAAUAUUUUUUCCUUUGUACAUGUUAAAAUAUAGAUUAUCGUUAAAGUGAACUUAACGCUGAAAAUGGAUCACAUUGUUGGCAACCAUAGAAAUGUAAUAGUCGUGAAAAUGAAAUGACAAACGUUUUGAUUUCUUUUAAAAGCAAAAUAUUGAUGUUGAAGAAAAAGUAGCAAUUAUUGAUAAACAGUUAAUACCGGAGUGUUCACGGGGUUUUGACUUCUAUGUCUGUAAAUUAUCUUGUCCAAUUAAUGAGGUCUUGGAAAUUGCUCUGCUGUUAUUUCAUUUCAAUGGUUUUGCGCCAUAUACAGAAGGAUGCGAAUUUGAAUGAAGGAAAUUGAUACCACACUAGAUGGACUGAUGUAGAGACUAUGUCGUAUCUAGGUUAAAUGUCAGUAUCAGAGGCUAGACCCAGUUUAUUAUUUGAUAUAGCAGCUGUAAAGUUUUCAGCUUUAUUAAUGGUUAAAUUCCUACUUGAAGGAAUGGUUAAAUUUCUACUUUAAAGAAACAGAAUCCGAGAGGGAUUCUGAAAUCGUUGCUUUUAAAAUUUCGAGAAAAAAAACUUACGUAUGCAUACCACUUAUACCACUUAGAAUUUCACUAACUUUGGGGCAAUGUUUCAAUUGUUACAUGUAAUAAAUAAAUGCCCUUUACUGUAUCUGUUUCAUCGAGGAAUUUGAGAUUGUGUAAAAUAAUAAGUAUUACUCACCUCUCCUUAAGUGUUAUAUAUUUUUUCCAUUAACCAAAAAUUUAAACAAAACUGGAAGAAACAGCUUUAAUAUAAUAUUAUUUCUGACAUAUUCAAUGUAAGCUUUUAUUAUGAAAAGUAUAAUAUUUAACGAGACCAGGUCUAAUUUGUUCAGCCUUAGAUUUUUUAAUAAAAUUUCACAAAAUUCU
rnacentral:sRNA from 1 species